GGUUGUGGCUCAGUGGAAGAGCAUUCGACUAACACAUGUGAGGCGCUGGGUUCGAUCCUCAGCACCA
rnacentral:tRNA from 1 species